rnacentral:sRNA from 1 species
CAGAGAAGAGUAAGAAAUUCAUGCCACUGCUUAUUGUAAGCACAAGAUAUUUCUGCCAGACUGAUUGUUAUUCUGGAUACGUGUUCUAGAAACUCUUAUUUAGAAAAACCAAACUUCUGAAAAGUUUAAAUAAGAUAAAGUAGACAAUGCAGUGUGCAAAACUCAGAUUGCAAAGAUGCUUGAACUGCCCACUAUCUAUAGGAGAGUUUAUGACCAGCCUUUUCGUAGUUCAGGCUUAGAGAAAGAAGCAGCACUAAA